GUAUUUUCUCGUUGGUCUUCGGACCACUGGUCGGUCUCAUACGCGAUGCGACGGAUUAUGGUUACACCCUGCAUUUUCUUAACGGACUCAAUAUCAUAGCGAUUACCUUUUGGAUAGUCGAAGAUCUAUUGCGUAAGAACAAGAAGACGACGUUGGAAUAAUAUCACUCGGUUGUGCCACUGUUUUAUCGUUCCUGCCAUAUUUCACAAAACUAUAAAUAGAUAUCCUGCAUGUAAAGGAACAUUUGUACAUAUCUAAAAUUGAAGACACAUUAAGCAGUGACUUUGAAAAUACGGCUCAUAAGCUUUAAAAGUUCGCACAAAUACUGUGUUGGAAUUUUCCUAAACCAUGUUUCUUUUUGUAAGCAAAUGUAUACUAGUAUUCUAUUGUAGAUAGGUAAUUACUUUAUAAUGACUGCUGUUACCAGGACUGCCAAGUACCUUAGCUUAGCCGCAUUGAGGAUUAAAAAGUGCCUUGCUUUAAUUUUAAUUCGGAAAUAUAGUAAAAAUGUUGCUAAGAUAAAAAUCAAAUAAACCAAUUCUUUCGCCUGUGAAAGUGGAAAAAUUUUAGUUGCUCAAAAAGUAUUUUUUUAAGUACCACUUGAGGUAGAAAGGGGGCUAAAAGUGGCACGAUUUGAGGCAAAUUGGCAGUCCUGGCUGUUACUUAGUUGUACAUACUUAUGUAUUCAAAGGCAUUUAGUUGAAAGUUAUUUUUAUAAAAUAAAUUUACUAUGUAAAUAACUAAUAUAUUUAUCUGCAUGCAUGUAUGUUUUGAGCUGACUUUUAUUAUAAUAAAGAUAUUCUUUUGUUUUGACUGGCUGGUGGCCAUUUUAA